AGUGUUAUAUCUUUGAAGCGCUAUAAAAUCGUUAUUAGAAGUGCGUUUAAUACCCCUUUAGAAUUUAUAAAGAUCAAAAACUCGCAAAAAAAUGAGAAUUAAAAUUGGAGUGAUAAUGGUGGCCACGACUGGACUUGAACCAGCGGCCACUACCA
rfam:Helicobacter pylori 26695, complete genome.